GUCGAGGACCAACGCUUCUUCGUGAACGUGCUAGUGUGGCGCAAUUGGAAUACGCUUGCGAAACAACCAAUCUCGCAGGAGGUGUCUAGUCAGUCUCUAGUCGAAGUGUAAGCGGAUUGGUUUGACGAAGACCUGCUCAAAGUUCCGAAAAUGAUCAGGAGACAGAGAUCCUCAUGUUGGUGUCAGAGAUUCAUCCACAUUCGCAACUUUACCCAAUGAUGAGACAUUACUACUAUGUGGGAAUGACAAGGCAAGAUUGCAAAGAAUAGGCACAUUCGUGAUCUACCCUGUAGAUCCGGGCUUUUGUAGAAUGUAAAUAUCAGAAGCUCGACUCUACAGGUAUCUUACGGAUGACAUGCCACGCGACUCUAGAUUGCGAUGAGUGACGCCAUGCUUGUUUACAUAAUGCAUAAAUAAUGACUUUCCAAGAAUUUGCAGAAUAAUUUGAAUAUUAUUGGUUUCAUUUAUAUAUCAAGAAUUAUUAGUGUAAAGAAAAAACAUAUUUAU